rnacentral:rRNA from 1 species
GACGAACUGUGCAAACGUUAUUCGGAAUCACUGGGCUUGAAGAGUGCGUAGGCGGUUUCGUAAGCAGGGUGUGAAAGCCCCCAGCUCAACUGGGGAACUGCGUCCUAAACUGCGAGGCUGGAGUGAGGUAGGGGUGUGUGGAACUUCCGGUGGGGCGGUGAAAUGUGUUGAUAUCGGAAGGAACGCCGGUGGCGAAAGCGACACACUGGGCCUUGUCUGACGCUGAGGCACGAAAGCCAGGGGAGCAAACGGG